CAACAUCCGAAUGAGAAAGGCCGACGUGAAUAUACUCUCUUGUUCGUCAGAUGUUCCCCCGUCGCCUUUCGUGUCUCUUCCGUGCUGGCCUUUCAUGCCUGCAGCAUCGUAUGCUGCUGACAGUCUGAAUUCAUGCGACUGGUGCGACAAGGUCCGACGUCUGUCCGGACAGGCAGUUCACCAUUUCGAAGGGGCGCUUCUAGAGAAAAAAAAAUGCCAAGCUCAAUAUGAUCAUCUGUCGGAAGACCAGAUUUCGUGUAGCUGUGAAGGGACUGCGAGCACGGAAGGCUUCCGAGUCACACCGCAGGUAUCAAGUGAAAGGGAGUUUCAGGUGUAUUCUCCACCGGAAGCAGCCGCCUCAACUGUCCGCGCGGCAGGUACCAGAAAUCAUUUCAAAGACACUACUACUGUGCAGCGGGGCAGAAGAUGUGGCAAAGAAUGCAAAUCUGGGCGUGGCGCAUGUGACCAUUGCAAACGCGGUUUCACAGGGAUGCCUCUUUCCCCUGUUUACAGUAGAAAUAAACUCUCCGAAGACAACAGAAUACAUGCGGGAGGUGUAGCAGGACCUGGGAGUAGUGAAGCGGCGCGUGAUGACGCGAAUACACAGUCCACUGUGGACGGUUUCACGCACACCGGUCAGAUGGAAGUCAGCCACGUUAGAAAUGCCGGCGUUUGGAGCAGUCACCAGGGUGUUGGGUGUUCGGCCAAGUGGGAGGCCCGUAGCACCAUCUCCAACGACGGCCACCCUCAUCCAGAACAUUCGUCUGCCACAACCGCAGAUGUGUUCAGCAACAACGGCAAGAUCGGCCCUCUCCUAGCUAUUGAAUCAACGAAGUCGCACACCGGUGCAUGUGCCAAACCGUGCCUCCUGUACGACAACAUCAUGGAAAUGCCCGACGCCAACACAAGGUCGACAGACGAUUCUGUGGCGUGGCAGUGCUGCCGAUCCACCCAUCCUGACUGUUACAACGCCACAUUCUGCGCAGCGCGUGCGCCAAUGCCUAUGCGGAC
rnacentral:lncRNA from 1 species